GAUGAACGCUGGCGGCGUGCCUAAUACAUGCAAGUCGAGCGAACGGACGAGAAGCUUGCUUCUCUGAUGUUAGCGGCGGACGGGUGAGUAACACGUGGAUAACCUACCUAUAAGACUGGGAUAACUUCGGGAAACCGGAGCUAAUACCGGAUAAUAUUUUGAACCGCAUGGUUCAAAAGUGAAAGACGGUCUUGCUGUCACUUAUAGAUGGAUCCGCGCUGCAUUAGCUAGUUGGUAAGGUAACGGCUUACCAAGGCAACGAUGCAUAGCCGACCUGAGAGGGUGAUCGGCCACACUGGAACUGAGACACGGUCCAGACUCCUACGGGAGGCAGCAGUAGGGAAUCUUCCGCAAUGGGCGAAAGCCUGACGGAGCAACGCCGCGUGAGUGAUGAAGGUCUUCGGAUCGUAAAACUCUGUUAUUAGGGAAGAACAUAUGUGUAAGUAACUGUGCACAUCUUGACGUUACCUAAUCAGAAAGCCACAGCUAACUACGUG
rnacentral:rRNA from 1 species